GGGCCUAUAGCUCAGCUGGUNNNCGCACGCCUGAUAAGCGUGAGGUCGAUGGUUCGAGUCCAUUUAGGCCCA
rnacentral:tRNA from 1 species